rnacentral:tRNA from 1 species
CGGGGAGUAGCGCAGCCCGGUUAGCGCGCAUCGUUCGGGACGAUGAGGCCGGAGGUUCGAAUCCUCUCUCCCCGACCU